rnacentral:lncRNA from 1 species
UAAUGUUGACCAACUAGGGAAAAGUUCAGUUUAGGGUUGGGGCCCUAAUGCUGACUGAAUGGACAGAAGCUCAGUUUUAGGGUUGACGCCCUAAUGCUGACUAAGGGAAAGUUCAGUUUAGGGUUUAAAACCCUAAUCCUGAUUAAAGGGAAAAGUUCAGUUUAGGGUUUAAAACCCUAAUGAUGACUAAAUGGAAGAAUUCAGUUUAGGGUUUAAAACUCUAAUGCUGACUAAAGGGAAGAGUUCAGUUUAGGGUUUAAAACCCUAAUCCUGAUUAAAGGGAAGAGUUCAGUUUAGGGUUUAAAACCCUAAUGCUGACUAAAUGGAAGAGUUCAGUUUAGGGUUUAAAACCCUAAUGCUGACUAAAGGGAAGAGUUCAGUUUAGGGUUUAAAACCCUAAUGUUGACUAAAUGGAAGAAUUCAGUUUAGGGUUUAAAACCCUAAUGCUGACUAAAGGGAAGAGUUCAGUUUAGGGUUUAAAACCCUAAUCCUGACUAAAGGGAAGAGUUCAGUUUAGGGUUUAAAUCCCUAAUGCUGACUAAAUGGAAGAGUUCAGUUUAGGGUUUAAAACCCUAAUGCUGACUAAAGGGAAGAGUUCAGUUUAGGGUUUAAAACCCUAAUCCUGAUUAAAGGGA